rnacentral:rRNA from 1 species
UACGUAGGGUGCAAGCGUUUGUCCGGAAUUAUUGGGCGUAAAGAGCUCGUAGGCGGUCUGUCGCGUCUGCUGUGAAAACUCAGGGCUUAACCCUGAGCUUGCGGUGGAUACGGGCAGACUAGAGGUAGGUAGGGGAGAACGGAAUUCCCGGUGUAGCGGUGAAAUGCGCAGGUAUCGGUGAGGAACACCGGUGGCGAAGGCGGCCCACUGGAUCGGUACUGACGCUGAGGUGCGAAAGCGUGGGGAGCAAACAGG